GCACUCCAGCCUGGGUGACAAAGCGAGACUCCGUCUCAAAAAAAAAAAAAAAACAAAAAAAAAACCCUGUCCCUUUUCAGAAAAGAUAACUUCCUACUCACCUAUCAGCUUUCAUGGGCCCAUGUGACCUAAUAAAUCAAAAUAUAUCAAUAAAUGAAUCAGUCAUAUAUUUAGGUAAUAAAGAAGAAAUUAGAUAUUUACUGGACCAAUUCUUCGGGUAGUGUAGUUGAUGGGUAACCCACCAACAUACAGCAUUCCCACAACAUCCAGGAUGUCAGCUUUUCUGGGACUAAUGGUUCUGUUGGAGGCCCCAUCUACAUAAAGAAUUCCUUCUUGCUUACUUCUCAUUAUCUUAAUCUACAAAAAAGAAAGAGGUCAUUAAUGCCAAUCCUGAACAAAUUUCAAAUAUGCAGAGUAUAAGACAUAAGGACUUUAACAAUGUUACCAAGAAAAAUUGAAACAAUGUACACAGUGCUUAGUAUGUGCUAAGCCCAUUAUAUAUGGGAAAGUUAAACCCAUUUUACAGAAUAUCUCAAAUUCUGUCUUUUCCAUGACUACUAUCACCAAAAGAAUACCGAAUUUUCCUGGGUCAGUUUUAGGUUGAAGUCUCUUCAGGAGUUUCCCAAGUGUGGAUAUGUGUUGAGAGGGAGGAAUGUUGUAAGGAAGCCUGCAGACUAAUAGCACUUUCAUGAAUUAAGUGCAGCAAAAUUCAUGUACAGUUUUAAAAGUGCCUUAGUUUGAUUGAGCAAGGAGCCUGGGCUCCCAACACGAUUUCAGAUACGCUACGUCCCUUUGCCUAACAGGCCCUUCUUGUGUACAAUUAGAGAAAGAGUGGCACAAAUAGGCUGCACUUCUUUCUGCAGAAACUGAUUAGUACAAAGUCAGGGAGGAAGACAGAGAACUGACUGAGGCUGAAAUUAGGGUGGUGGAGCGAAUUAUCUUCUGAGACAGAAUGAAAUAAGGGGUGUAAAGACUGGCUGGAGUAUAAAAAUCUUGAGUCUGAAUUUAGGUAAAGGAGCAUGAAAGCCUGUAAAACGCUAAAGUACCAUGAUGGUUUAAAAAUUAGUCUGGGUCAGGAUUAGAGUAAUUUAACUCUUCAUUUUACAUAUAUUUAUUCUGGUUUGGGAAGUAAUUUUAAAAAACCAUCAAAAAUAAAAUCCAUUUUUAAUUUGACUAAUUAUAGUAUUUAAGUCCCUUUCUUAAUCCCAGCCUCAUUGUGGUUCAACGAUAUGUCUUUUUCUCAAGUGUCAUAUUUAUUAUUCUAUUAGCUAGAGAUGGAAGAAAUCUUAAUGAGAGCUCCUUCAUUUGGAUCCAUAUUUGCUAGUCAUAAGCUCCCAGCAAAAAUGAAGAUUCUUUUUCUUAUUUCCAUGAUAACAAAUUGGUUGGCUUUGCGUUUUUUAAGGUUUUUUGACUUUCUAGAAUAUGACAAGUCCAAAUAUGUUAACAUUAACCAAAUCUAACAUCUAAUAAUAUCGUACUCUGAAAAUUAAAAAUUUUAUUGGUCUACCUAGGGAAGCUUUACUUCAUAGGCUAUCGCAGGUGCAGAGACAAAUGUUGAGAUUUUGUUUUAAUCAGGCAGUAUAUUAUCUAUUUGCAGUCAUGCCAAAGAGGACAGUAAGCUGGCAAACGAGCCUUCUGUGCCCAUAAUAGUACCAGUUUCUGGGUGUAAGGCCAACGUUUUUAAAAUUGUUCCAAAUAACUGUCAGUAGAAAUGAUACCUUAGAGCCCUUUAAGCACGAUAAGCCAGAGAUUCCUGGAUUCCUGGUUUUCACAGACCAGUGUGUGGUUAGGUGGGGAGCCUUGGGACCCAUUUUAGUGUUGCCAACUUUUGCUUUUGGCAAAUACUAUUUCAUAAUAGAAAGGCCUUUUAGCCACCAUAAAAAUGCUAUAAUAUAAUCUCAGAAUAAAUAUUAUUCCUUCAGAUCGAAUACAUCGAGCUUUAUGAUGAACACACUCUGUUGUUCUACGUUUCUCACUUAGAGCAGUGGAAAUGUCUUCAGCCGCCUGGUCUCAGUUUAUGGGUAGAGGUUUGAGAACCACAGCCAUAUAGCAGUGAUGGAACCAUGAUGAAGCAUGUCAGUGGUCAAAUGUAAACCUACACAGGUCUGAGCACAUUUUCCAAGAUUGUAGUAGUUGUAUAUGGCACUCAUUUUAUUUUUAGCUUCUGCCAGAGUCAGUGUCUGCCCUGGCAAAAUAUACUGGCACCAGGAGAAUGCUGAUGGCUGCCACUCACUAAUUCCCUUAGGGUACUGCCAAUAUCCAGGGGACUAUUACCUUGUGCCACUGGCCAUCAUUGAUUUUGGUGGGGAUCAUGGUGUUGGUGUCCCCACUCCCCAAGUCAUAGCUGAAGUAGGGCAAUCCAUUUCUCAGCUGAACUGUGGCAAAAUCAGCAUGAUUGAUGCGAGCCAUGUAAAAAAGCAAGCCAGAUUCAGCUUCGGUUCUUACUUCCAACUCAAUUGUGAGACUGUGAAACAAAAGCAUGCAAAGUCAAAUAGAAAAAUAAGAGCAUUCUCAUGCUAAAAUAGAGCGGUAUCAGAUCAUGGCUGCAUUUUCAUAAAGGAGAGUAAAACCUUCUCAGAGAUGAGGAAUGUCCUGGACUACUGAUUUCCUACAUUGGGCUCCUCAGGCUCAAAUAACAUUCUAUUCUCUACUGUACUCAGUAAAUUAAAAGAAAAGCUAGCUUCAUUAAUUAAUAAGUGUAGUAGAUUAAACUUAAUUAAACACGAAUACUCAGUUCUUCAUUUAUCAGUUCUUUCCCAGUGUCUCAGGAUGAUACAUACUGGUUUUUAACUUUGGUGUCAUCAAAUGCAAUUGCAAUGUGACUGUUUCUUGAAAGCCCGAACUGCUUGCUCCCCAUCAAAAGAGCUGGUUCUGAUUCUGCAGCACAAGGACCCUGUAAAAUACCCAGGAGAGAAAGACAAGAGAUUAUGGACUGUUCUUUAAAAAGGAGAUGGUCAGUUAUAAAGAGCAGACUGGCCGAAAUUCACACAGCUAUGCAAAACCCCGUGGGCAGGACAGGAAAAUGCUAUUCAUUCGCACAGUUGAAUGGCCUCUUUUAGAGUCAGCAUGUGGCACCUUUCUUAUUACGCUGCCUGCAAAAAGAGCCCGAAUGGAGACGCUUCGGUAGCUUAAGAUCUCAGUCAUGAAUACUCCUAUUAAUAGAAUUGGGGUCUUUUAUCAACCUCUCACGAUACUUCCCGGACGGAGGACCAUCUCGACAAACAUGCGGAGCCUGCGGUCUUCCUCAGAAAUUGCUAAGAGAAUCCUAUCUGCUGUGAGUCCACUGGGGACAGAAUUUCACUGAAACAUCUUUACACCCUCAGCUCUGAAAACUGAGGGAUUAAAAUCGUGAAUGGAUGCUGAAGAAUUAGGAAACAAUUACAUGUAGCUCAAAAGAGAACCACCAGUGGGUUAUGUCCAUGUUAUUGCGGUUACAGUCACUUGUCUAAUUCCUAUAUGUAAAUGUUAAUAUAACUUCUCUAUUAAAAUUAAAACAAAUUUCAAGGUGGCAGUUGUACACUGCUGGUAGCAGCUGUAUGUUGUGGGGGACUUUUUGAUUGCUGGUAGACUGGACAGGUGUAUCCAAAACUGGUCCCGAGCUAAGCAGCAGAUUUUUGUUUGUUUUUGUUUUGUUGUUGUGUCGUCGUACACUAUCAGAUUUUCUAGAUGGACAAGGCACUGGUCAAGUCAUUUUAGAAAAAAACCUUUGACCAGAAAAGGACAAGGACUUUGUCAAAGUUCUUUUAAGAGUCAUUGCAGGACACACCCGAUUGAAAUUUAGGAAGAACAGCACCUCCUGGAUUAGAUCCUCCAUUUCUGCAACGGGCAGCCCUGGAGAAGCAGGCAGAAGCAGUGCUUAAUAAAAUGGUGUUCUCAGAUGAGCCAAUGUUACGGAAUAGUACCAAACUGACACUGUAACAUGUAACCUCAAAGUUUAAAGCCAUUAUGGUGUAUAGCCCUUUGUUUUUAAGGACAUCCAAGGUGAUGUUUACUAUCAUUGAUUUGCAACAGGAUGGAUGUUGUUUUAAUAAAACUUCUAUCACCUUCCUUUAUUAAACUGGUAGUUGGAAAAGGA